UAAUGUAAUCUUGUUCUUUUUUCAAUAGCUUUUCAGUCAAAUUCUGAAAAAUCAAUUGAACAUUUCAUAUUUAGUAAAUUAUUUUAACAACUUCAUAAGAAUAACAAAUAUUUAAUAAUAGUAAGUCAUUUUAAAAGCAAGUCAGUAGAUAGACAUAGGAGUGAAGCAAAAACUAACACAAGCUUAGCCUUCACAGAUUUUUUUCAGCCCUCUUUUAUUAGUGCUUCUACUUGAUCAAAAUUGUUCUAACAAUGAACUCUGAAUCUAUGACACAUAGUUUUUCCCUGUAGGAUGAUAGCAUUCAAUGAGACAAAAGCUCAUUAGCAAAAGACAGGUUAAUAUUCUUCUUAUAGUUCUGCUGAGGAUAAAAUCUACCUGUGGUAGUUGGAAUAAACCUCUGAAUUUUCUGGGCCUCUCCAUAAGGCCCCUGUGAGACACGCUGCCUCUGCUUUAGAAAAACUCUUUUCUCCUGAGUGGUAUUUCCACCCUGCCCCUUUCUGAAACUCUCCAUAUCUGGAAUCUUCCAUGCUAAAAAUUUUCAACCUUUGGUUGGACUUGUCAACCAGGACUAUCCAGCCAAUCCUCCUCACCUAGCACCUACCUGCCUAUGACAUCAGAGGUGGGAAAACAAUCAGAAAUCUCAGCGAGACCUUACCCCUCCCUAUAAAAUCUAUGGUCUUCACUGAUUUUCUUUCUAACCAAGUGGAUAGGUUGCUCAAGCUUGACCUGGUCAGCUGUCAUGAUUGCAGAGCUGCCUGAAACUAUCUGGGGAAGAGAAAAGGGAAAAAUAGGUUAUCUCUUGGCCCUGGAGUAGAUAGUAUGACCCCAGCCAUCUUCCACACUGAUUAAGAAGACAGUCCAGAAAACUGAAUGAAGCUCUUGGUUACCUGCCAAGGCAAAGCAGAAUUCUCUGGAGUAAACCACAAACCUCUCCUACUACCCAAAGACCAAGAAGUCCAAGGACCAGCAACUACUAGGUUGCCCCAGGCCAGCUCCCAUGCCUUAGUUUGUACUCAAGAUCCACCCAAUGGACUUCCUUAAGCCUCAAACCUUUGUAUUAUCAAAAGGGAUCCAGGACACAAAAAAGUUAAGAACUUUUGCAUAAGCCUUGAAUCAAGAAACCUGAACUCAAGAAACAAGAGUCUGAUAUGAAAACAAAGGAAAAGGUGAAUCUCAAGAGACCCUGAAAAAGAGAAAGUUAUUCAUUUAAAUAGAAAACUGAAAGGAUGCUGUGGGAAAUUUUUAAACAAUUUAAUAUCUCUUCCUGGAAAAAUUAAGACCUGAUGAAUUUUUGGCAAA